rnacentral:rRNA from 1 species
GACGAACGCUGGCGGCGUGCUUAACACAUGCAAGUCGAACGGAAAGGCCCUGCUUUUGUGGGGUGCUCGAGUGGCGAACGGGUGAGUAACACGUGAGUAACCUGCCCUUGACUUUGGGAUAACUUCAGGAAACUGGGGCUAAUACCGGAUAGGAGCUCCUGCUGCAUGGUGGGGGUUGGAAAGUUUCGGCGGCUGGGGAUGGACUCGCGGCUUAUCAGCUUGUUGGUGGGGUAGUGGCUUACCAAGGCUUUGACGGGUAGCCGGCCUGAGAGGGUGACCGGCCACAUUGGGACUGAGAUACGGCCCAGACUCCUACGGGAGGCAGCAGGGGGGAAUAUUGCACAAUGGGGGGAAGCCUGAAGCAGCAACGCCGCGUGCGGGAUGAAGGCCUUCGGGGUGGAAACCGCUUUCGCCUGUGACGAAGCGUGAGUGACGGUAAUGGGUAAAGAAGCACCGGCUAACUACGUG